GCGUGCGCGGAUACUGCCUAGAGUUAAGAAAACUUAGCUCUAUGCCCGCAAUGUGCACGGAUAUCAAAAUGUUCUUCGAUGAGCCUGCUCGAUUGAGUUAUCAAGCAGGUACAGAUACAGAGCAUACAACC